rnacentral:rRNA from 1 species
CCUACGGGCGACAGCAGUGAGGAAUAUUGGUCAAUGGGCGCGAGCCUGAACCAGCCAAGUAGCGUGAAGGAUGACUGCCCUACGGGUUGUAAACUUCUUUUAUAAAGGAAUAAAGUGAGGCACGUGUGCCUUUUUGUAUGUACUUUAUGAAUAAGGAUCGGCUAACUCCGUGCCAGCAGCCGCGGUAAUACGGAGGUUCCGAGCGUUAUCCGGAUUUAUUUGGUUUAAAGGGAGCGUAGAUGGGUUGUUAAGUCAGUUGUGAAAGUUUGCGGCUCCACCGUAAAAUUGCAAUUGAUACGGGCAGCCUUGAUUACAGUUGAGGUAGUCGGAAUUCGUGGUGUAGCGGUGAAAUGCUUAGAUAUCACG